GACGAACGCUGGCGGCGUGCUUAACACAUGCAAGUCGAACGGAAAGGCCCUGCUUUUGUGGGGUGCUCGAGUGGCGAACGGGUGAGUAACACGUGAGUAACCUGCCCUUGACUUUGGGAUAACUUCAGGAAACUGGGGCUAAUACCGGAUAGGAGCUCCUGCUGCAUGGUGGGGGUUGGAAAGUUUCGGCGGUUGGGGAUGGACUCGCGGCUUAUCAGCUUGUUGGUGGGGUAGUGGCUUACCAAGGCUUUGACGGGUAGCCGGCCUGAGAGGGUGACCGGCGACAAUGGGACUGAGAGAGGGCCCAGACGCCUACGGGAGGCAGCAGUGGGGAAUAUUGCGCAAUGGGCGGAAGCCAGAUACAGCAACGCCGCGUGCGGGAUGCCGGCCUUCGGGUGGUAAACCGCUUUCGCCUGAGACGAAGCGUGAGUGACGGUAAUGGGUAAAGAAGCACCGGCUAACUACGUG
rnacentral:rRNA from 1 species